GCAAGCGUUAAUCGGAAUUACUGGGCGUAAAGCGCGUCGUAGGUGGUUUGUUAAGUUGGAUGUGAAAUCCCCGGGCUCAACCUGGGAACUGCAUUCAAAACUGACUGACUAGAGUAUGGUAGAGGGUGGUGGAAUUUCCUGUGUAGCGGUGAAAUGCGUAGAUAUAGGAAGGAACACCAGUGGCGAAGGCGACCACCUGGACUGAUACUGACACUGAGGUGCGAAAGCGUGGGGAGC
rnacentral:rRNA from 1 species